ACACAUCCCUGGAAGGAAAAUAUUUUUUCAGUGUGAAGCAAAGUAAAAUGCUAUUACAUAUCAAAGUUAUUUUUUCAAAAUACUCUUUUUUCUUACAAUGCCUUUCUCCACCCAACCCUAAAUGAACUAUAACCUAGAACGGUCCUUUUAACACAGCUGACACUGUUCAAAUUUCUGUACCUUUGACUAGUGGAAUUUGACCUGUGGUAGACUUUUCAGAUGAUACCAUUUGAAGUUCUUACAUCAAGUUACAUCCCAAUGAAUGCAAUUACUGACAGCCACCCCUUUAUGUUAUGUCUUUCAGUUUGGUACAUGUUAAUUUAAAUUGCAGGGUUGCACUUAGUAGAAGGAGGGUUAGAGCUAAGGGUUUCAAGUUCCAGAGAAGACAUGUCCUUGAUUCUAUUUCACUUGUUAAUCCUAUGAUGUCAGCUGUAAGAGGACACAGUUUUAGAAUUGUACAGCAACCACAUUCUGUGCCUUGCCCUUAUGCCUUGUGGCACAUAGACAGUGAUCAUAAAUUAACUGAGCCCAACAGAAUUUUGAUUCACAGAGGCAUAAAUGGGUGUAGGGUAUUGAUUACACAUGCACCUUGUAUUGAUUACACAUGCACAUCUUGUAAUUAUUGACAACAAGCUUAGUAUGAGUUCUAACUCAUUAAAUGUACUACUUGCAGUAAUCCUACUGUACUGGAAAUACCUGCAUGCUGUAAAAUUACUAUAAGUCAGUAAACUAAACCAAAAACUCAACCAAAAUGCAACCUGUGGGAUGCUGAGUGCUGCUUCAAUGGUUUCAGAGGCUUUAUGGUUGAUCGAAACAAACUGUUUCGUAUCAGUCAAGUAGCCGGUUAUCCAUCUUAAGUAGGAUUUGGAGAAUCCAAGAUUGUGGAGCUCUGUGAGAACCGUCACAUAUGAGACUGUGUCAAAUGCCUUUGAAAAGUUGGUUAGGACAGCCAUAAUAACCUUGCCCUCCAUAAAAGGGAUUUAACAUUUCCCCACCAGUAGUGAACCUUAGCAACCUCUUCAGUUCUGCAGAAGGAAAAAUUUGUAAGGGAGAGUUCUUUCUACCACAGAUCAGCAAGUCUAUUAAAAGUACAACACACCAACUGAAAAGCACUUAAAAAGGUCCAUACAACAACUGCAAUUUAAAGGUAUGACCAUAAUUACCUCAACCAUGAACAAACAAAAAUCUAUAACUGAUAUAGUAAAGACAUUGAAACAUUCACCUUCUUAACAUACGAUAGCUUCCUCUCAUCAUAGACAUCAUAAACUGAUGCAUAUAGGCAGCUGCUUGGUUGAUGUCAGCAGUAGCAACAUAAUAGCACAUUAAUGGUACCAAGUAUGGAAAGCCUGUGCAGCCCUGGCAGACACUGUGUUAGAUCAUUUUCCUAAUUUUCCUAACCAUUUUGAAAAGGCCACAGCUCAAAGAAAAAAAUUCUUGAAAUUUACCCCCCCCCCCCCCCUUCAAGGAUACAUGCAAACUUACUCCAAUAUUCUUGGCUGACAUUUACAAAACAAAGCGGACUGUUAUGAGGAAUUAGGUACCAUCCUUUGAAGCUGCCUCAUCCCAAGUUUUAUUAAUUUAUUUACCAUACUACGAGCAUUCACUCUCUACAAGGCUUAUGUGCUCGGAUUUGGUCAGGUUCGAAAAGGUUCUUCUGGGGCAGACCACAACACCUACUCUUUGCAAUAAGUGUGUGGGUUCUUUAACGUCCCCUACUAACUAGAAGAAGAUACAAGAGACGAAUUGAAAAGGAAAUCCAUCAAUUAUCCAAUGGUUACAUGACCACGAGGUGUUU